rnacentral:ncRNA from 2 species
CGCUGCAAGCAGGGGAGCCCAUGCGAACGGGCUGAGAGGGCGGGAGCGACCCGCCGACCCUUCGAACCUGAUCCGGUUCGCACCGGCGGAGGGAGCGAGCAUGGCGAGCGU